GUGCUCACUUCGGCAGCACAUACACUACAAUUGGAGCAAUGCAGAGAUUAGUAUGGCCCCGUGCAAGGAUGACAUGCAGAUUCAUGAGCGUUCCAUAAAAGAG